AGAGUUUGAUCCUGGCUCAGGACGAACGCUUGCGGCGUGCCUAAGAAAUGCAAGUCGAGCGAGGUCUAGGGUUCUGCCUAAAACCUAGCGGCGAACGGUCGCGUAACACGUAAGCAACCUGCCCUGAAUUGGGGGAUAGCCCUCCGAAAGGAGGAUUAAUACCGCAUGUGGACAGUAGAUCGGCAUGUUCUACUGUUUGAAGCAGCAAUGCGCUUCAGGAUGGGCUUGCGGCCUAUCAGCUAGUUGGUGGGGUAACGGCCUACCAAGGAGACGACAGGUAGCUGGUCUGAGAGGAUGAUCAACCACACUGGGACUGACACACGGCCCAGACUCCUACGGGAGGCAGCAGUAGGGAAUCUUGCGCAAUGGGCGAAAGCCUGACGCAUCCAUGCCGCGUGAAUGAUGAAGGUCUUAGGAUUGUAAAAUUCUUUCAGCGGGGACGAUAAUGACCGUACCCGCAGAAGAAGCCCCGGCUAACUUCGUGCCAGCACCCGCGGUAAUACAAGGGGGCUAGCGUUGCUCGGAAUUACUGGGCGUAAAGGGCGCGUAGGCGGAUGUCUUAGUCAGAGGUGAAAGCCCAGGUCUUAACCUUGGAACUGCCUUUGAUACUGGACAUCUUGAGUACGGGAGAGGUGAGUGGAACUCCGAGUGUAGAGGUAAAAUUUGUAGAUAUUCGGAAGAACACCAGUGGAGAAGGCGACUCACUGGCCCGUUACUGACUCUGAGGCGCGAAAGCGUGGGGAGCAAACAGGGUUAGAUACCCUGGUAGUCCACGCUGUAAACGAUGAGUGCUAAUUGUCGGCAUGCAAGCAUGUCGGUGCCGCAGCUAACGCAUUAAGCACUCCGCCUGGGGAGUACGGUCGCAAGAUUAAAACUCAAAGGAAUUGACGG
rnacentral:rRNA from 1 species